CCUACGGGGGGCAGCAGUGGGGGAUAUUGCACAAUGGGGGAAACCCUGAUGCAGCGACGCCGCGUGUGGGAAGACGGUCUUCCGGAUUGUAAACCACUGUCCCCAGGGACGAAAAUGACGGUACCUGGGGAGGAAGCUCCGGCUAACUACGUGCCAGCAGCCGCGGUAAUACGUAGGGAGCAAGCGUUGUCCGGAAUUACUGGGUGUAAAGGGAGCGUAGGCGGGGAUGCAAGUUGGGUGUCAAAACUACCGGCUCAACCGAUAGUCGCACUCAAAACUGCAGCUCUUGAGUGAAGUAGAGGCAGGCGGAAUUCCUAGUGUAGCGGUGAAAUGCGUAGAUAUUAGGAGGAACACCAGUGGCGAAGGCGGCCUGCUGGGCUUUUACUGACGCUGAGGCUCGAAAGUGUGGGGAGCAAACAGGAUUAGAUACCCCUGUAGUC
rnacentral:rRNA from 1 species